CUCUCUAAUGCUUCCUGCUACGAAUGAAGCACAUUAGCUAGGUGACACUCUAGAGAUGAACUCUUCUCCAGGCUUCGUGACUGUGGUACUCUUGAUGCUUGGACGAACCCACGGAGACUCAGUGACCCAGAUGGAAGGCCCAGUGACCCUCUCCAAAGGGGAGUCCCUGACUAUAAACUGUACUUAUUCAGCGACAGGGUACCCCACUCUUUUCUGGUAUGUCCAGUAUCCUGGAGAAGGUCCACAGCUCCUCCUGAAAGCCUUGAGGGACAAGGAGAAGGGAAGUCACAAAGGUUUUGAAGCCACCUAUGACGGAAAAUCCAAAACCUUCCACUUGGUGAAAUCCUCAGUGCAAGUGUCAGAUUCGGCUGUGUACUACUGUGCCCUGAGUGACACAGUGACAGGGACUGCAGGGGGAGCUGAGCGCAAACUCUGAGCAGA